UCGAGGAAAUUUUUCAAUGCCCGAAAGGGUGAACGAGUAAGCCAGAGUGUUUUCUUUAAGAAAACUUUUAUCUACUGUAAAAAAGCAGAUGAAUAAGGACUGGGCAAGACCGGUGCCAGCCGCCGCGGUAAUCCCGGCGGUCCAAGUCGCAUCCACAAUUAUUGGGUCUAAAACAUCCGUAGCUUGCUAUGUAAGUCUCUUGUGAAAUCUCAAAUCUCAAGUUUGAGGCGUGCAAGAGAUACUACAUAGCUUUGAGACCGGAAGACGCAAAGAGUACGAUUUAGGUAGCGGUAAAAUGUGUUAAUCUUUAUCGGACUAACAGUGGCGAAGGCGCUUUGCGAGUACGGAUCUGACAGUGAGGGAUGAAGGCUAGGGGCGCAAAAGGG
rnacentral:rRNA from 1 species